rnacentral:tRNA from 1 species
GGAGAGGUGUCCGAGCGGCUGAAGGAACGCGACUGGAAAUCGCGUAUACGGGCAACCGUAUCAGGAGUUCGAAUCUCCUCCUCUCCG